rnacentral:rRNA from 2 species
GGGUUGUGAGGUUAAGCGACUAAGCGUACACGGUGGAUGCCCUGGCAGUCAGAGGCGAUGAAGGGCGUGCUAAUCUGCGAUAAGCGCCGGUAAGGUGAUAUGAACCGUUAUAACCGGCGAUACCCGAAUGGGGAAACCCAGUGUGACUCGUCACACUAUCAUUAACUGAAUCCAUAGGUUAAUGAGGCGAACCGGGGGAACUGAAACAUCUAAGUACCCCGAGGAAAAGAAAUCAACCGAGAUUCCCCCAGUAGCGGCGAGCGAACGGGGAGGAGCCCAGAGCCUGAAUCAGCAUGUGUGUUAGUGGAAGCGUCUGGAAAGGCGCGCGAUACAGGGUGACAGCCCCGUACACAAAAGCGCAUGUGCUGUGAGCUCGAUGAGUAGGGCGGGACACGUGGUAUCCUGUCUGAAUAUGGGGGGACCAUCCUCCAAGGCUAAAUACUCCUGACUGACCGAUAGUGAACCAGUACCGUGAGGGAAAGGCGAAAAGAACCCCGGCGAGGGGAGUGAAAAAGAACCUGAAACCGUGUACGUACAAGCAGUGGGAGCACAGGUUUACCUGUGUGACUGCGUA